CCCUCACUACCGGCGCCGCCCGACCCCUAACCUCCCUGGAUCCCGGCGCCGCCCCGCCCCCACCUCCUCCCUCGCUCCCGGCCGCCCAUGCCCUCCCGGCCUCCUCCCGGUGCACAUGCCACCGCCCCUGCUCCUCCCUCCUCCAGGAGGGAGCACCGCCGCCCCUGUUCUUCCUUCCCCCUACCGGCAUGCGCGUCGCCGCCCCUCUGGCCGUCGUUGGCAUCCUGCUCGAACCCGUGGGCCCGAGGAAGAUGGAGACGAUGGAUGAUGGGAAGGAGCAGCGGCUGCCUCGUGAUGACCUCGUGGGAGCAGACGGUGAUAAAGACCAUCAACGAGGCUGCUACUGUUUAAUGCGAAAGGGUUCAUUAGCUGUGUGGAGACCUUUUAUUAUGGUGAUGAUGACAAACAAGAUCAAGCUGUCAAUUUUGAAUUAAAGAGAUUCCAGAAUAGAGAAGGAUCAUUUGCAAAGAAGCUUGCGAGGAGUUGUCAAAAUUUUGAUUAUAAUGCAGCAUCUUGGUGGAGGCUCUAUGGAACUGAAGCACCAGCUCUACAAAGGAUGGCUGUGAGAAUCCUCUCAUUGAUAUCAAGUUCUUCAGUCUGUGAAAGGAACUGGAGUACCUUCGAAAAUAUUCAUAAGAAGAAAAGAAAUAGGCUAACUACAGAACGUCUAAACUCUCUUGUGUUCAUACAAUUCAACUCGAGAAUGAUAGCCAAGAAACAAAUGAUCAAGGAGAAGAAGAUCACUGAUGUCCUCUUAUCCACUAAAACUGCUGAAGCUCAAGGUUUUCUUUUUGAGGGCGGAGAUGAUUAUGCAGAAGUCAUCUAUAUGGAUAAAGAUGAGGAGGAGAUGAAUAGUACAGGGAUGACAGGGAGUGGCGUUGGAGAAGCAAUGGGAGGCGAUGAACUGCUCGAGCCACAUAGAAGUGCGAGACCAAGACAACUUUAUUAAGAAGAAGAAUUUGAUUCUAAAGAAGAGGAGUUUGAUGAUGAGGAGGAGAUGCAUUCAGAUGAGGAGAAUGGCUAUUGAUAAUUGAGGAGACCCAAAUGAACAGGAGUGGAGCAUGGAGGAGGGCUCUGGGUGACGGCGGCGCAUGACAAAGGGCUCUGGAUUGUGGCGGGGAAGGAGUGGAGGAAUUGUGCAUCCGGGAAUGUUGCGACCGCCGAUCCUAUCUGUUGGUAUACUGUCUGACAGGUGCCACAACGGCCUUGUAGCUUCAGAUUUACAAAUUGCUAAGGAGCGGAGCAUGGAGGAGGGCUCUGAGUCGUGAUGGGGCAUGGUGGAGGGCUCUGGGUUGUGGCGGGCAAGGACCGGAGGAACUGUGCAUCCGGGGAUGGCGUGACCGCCGAUCCUAUCCGUUACACUGCUGUCUGACAGGUCACAUGAUCACCAAGGCAUGUGAUAGCAUCUUCAUGCCCAACUCUCACUCUGCUGUCGCCCAUUCAGCGCACUCGCCGAGGCUAGGGGUGGAUGGUUCUUUGAUGCUGGCACAACUGGAGACAGCAAGAAGCAGAUGGAGGGAGGGCUAUCAUGUUGAAGAAGACGCCGGCACCCCGACAACGGAAAUGCGGUUUCUCGGAGCUAGCGGGAAGGAGGCCGAUGGCUUCCCGUUGUAGUAACGCGAUGCUGAAGCAACAACACACCAGGUUCUAUUCUUUUUUUUUUUGAAGAUCACACCACGUUCUAUUUGUAAACCAUUUUUCCACUACCAGUAAUUACUAGAGUAUGUGAACAAAAUCUGAACUGUAAUUUGUGAUAUUUGAGAUGUCUAUAAGUGUACAAAUAGAAAGGCGCCAAUUCAAUUGAUUGUCAGAUUCAGAAUAGUAUGUGUGCAGUGGCUUCUAUCUCAAUUUUUUUAUGUUGUUUGUGUUUGAAUUAAUUAGGACUUUGACCAUCGUGUUUAUUCAGCCCGCAAGGUGGUUAGCACUCAGCAAACUAUUAGUAUUCUGCUGGUAUCUCGUUAUUCUCAAGCUGUGAAGACAUGCACAAGAAUAGGUAUGGCUACAUGCUUUCUAUAUCUGUCAGCUUCAUAAAGCAUUUUGAAGGGGUGCAUCUUGUUGGAGAGGUCUGGUAUGCAUAUUUAAUCAAAGAAAACAGAAGUUUUUUUUAUGUAAUAAAGAUUUAUGAAAAUUUGGACUUUAGAUUGUAUCAGGGACAAUUUUCAUGAUAAAUUACACGAAGUUUGUAUCUUCGGACAUCUUCAUGCCGACUUACGUUCAAUAUUAGGAUAUGUCCCCUCAUGUGCCAGUUUUGAGGUUUUGUUAGAAGUUCACGGUCUAUUCUUAGUUCCUGCAUGUUUUUUCACCUUUCUGUAGAGAUUUGAGUAUAACUUAAAGUUCUAGAUGCAUAUAAGCUUGUGAGUUAACUAAAGCUCACUUGAUGGUUCUAACUAAAUUCUGCAAAAAUAUGACCAUGACAGAAAGAGAAAUGGAGGUUUAGAGGCAGAGUAGAUGCCUGCACCAACAACUUUAUAGAUUGAACUACAUUUUGCUAGAUGACUCAAAUUUUAGAACGCGAGCAUUAUUUUUUUGCAGAAUUUAGUUUACAAUAGAAUCAAGUCAAGCUUAAAAUAAGAGAUCUACUCUCCGAUAUUGAAUUUAAUCCCUUUCUUGCAAAAGCACCACAGAUGAGUGAGGAGGUUAUUCAAUAUUGAAUUUAAUUCCUUACUUGUACCCAUGAUCGAUCUACUUCCAUGCUGCAAGCUUGCACCUGAUCAGGUUUCUAACUUAAUUCAGUUUUGUUAGAUCUGUCGAUGAUGUAAACAACAUAUUUCAAGAUAUGAUGGUUAGAGUGCAGCUUUCAGAUAAUUUUCUUCCCUCGGGAUAUUUGAAGACUGUUUGUUAGCCAUCAAGUUCAGGAAACCCAAGGGUAUCAUAUGAAUUGGAUUACGUAAAAGACACAGAGAUAAAAGGAAGCUACACCGGUUGUUUCUUUGGCAAUUACAAAUCAGCAUCCAUCAUCUACAGACACCAGAGGAAUAUGUUGUUGGAGAAGGUGCAGCGUUGCGGUGAGCAGCAGGUUGUGUCGUCGUGGUGGUCACCCUCGGCUACGAUGGUGUGCAGUCCUUGGCACCGGGAAUCGGCCUGGGAUGUCGUGGAGGGGAGAGGAGGGGGCGUGGCGUUGAGAGCAAGGUGCGAGCUAAAUGACGUGGCGUUGAGGGGAGGCGACAAUGAGAAGCCGUGGUGGGCAGAGCACGCCAGGGAAUUGAGAUGUGAGUGUGACCGUUGCAUCGUGCGAUGAGUGAGAGGGUGAAUUGUUUUUUUAAGGAGCCCCGUAGUUGUAUAGCGGGUCGCGGAAGAGGCAGCCGGCGAGUGCGGGCUGGACGGGAAGGUGAUGCCUGCGAUGGCAACCAUGCCGGCGGGCAGGGAAGGGUCUACGGUGGCCGUCAUGGUGUUUUCGAGGGAGAGCAAGGCAUCCACCAUCGCACAGCCGAAGAAGACGAAGCCUACGUCGAGGUUGGCCACCGUGGCCGGCGUGAAAGCUGACGGACCUUAAGGCUGGUGACGGGUCCGCCACUGCCGCACUGUCUCUGAACUUGGUGGAGACGUGGAAGGAGAGCGGUGGCGCCGUGAAGACCUCGGUGUCUGCUGCCGCGACCACGACCAUGACCAUUGCGUCGAAGACAAGGAACAUGACACAGUAUUUUUCUGGAUUUCCAGAAGACAAGGACCAGGACCACAGCAAACAUCCUGAGUUGGAAGACAAAAGUACUGAUGCAACCAUGGAAGGGGUGGAAGGUAAAGCCAUUCUGAGGGAUAUAUGAACAGCAAAGAACUUAUUAACCUUUUUUUUAUAAAACUUGAUGAUGAAUUGGUUACUAUAGUCCCGUCAAAAUAAUUACCAUAUGUGAAGAAUAUUUGAAAGAGCCGUUUUGGAAGUGAGCUUAUUUUGGAAGUAUCAUUAAGAAUUUGGUGGCAACAUACGUUUAACAAAUUCUUUUUUGUGUGUGGCAGUUGUGUUUUCCUACAUCACACUGUCUAAGCAUGUCUUUAUGUACUGAUUCUGGAUAUACCAUGAUAAAUAGUUUCUAAUUUCUUUCAAAAGUUGCUUUCAGGGAAAAUAUUUGACGAUUGUUUUUUCUCCCAACCUGGCAAGGUAUUUUACUACCUAUAUUAAUUACUGGAAGGUGUGAUUUUGCUGGAAGGUUCUACUUGGUACUGAUUGCCAUACCUACACUGGGGGAUCCUUUGCCCAAUUUACAACUGGAACGUGAAACAUUCGGAAGGUAUGCAAACAUGUAUCAUUGUUUCAUGGGAAAUGGUAUAACCAUGGAACAAUAGUGCAUAUAUUGAGUGUUGUAUCAUAUUAACACCCUUUCCAUUCUGGACACCUAUGUCUUUGUCAUAACGUGGAUAUAGUGUGAUGCCUAUGGGAAGAAGUGGUGCUUUGAUUUUUUUUAAUUUUUUUCUGAGGAGCCCCCAACUAUCAGGUACUAAAUGGAGAAAAGUCCAGAAUAUUUGAACAUGCGAUGGAUGUAUGAUAUGUGUGUAAUCCCUUCAUAAACUGUGUAUAAACUUCAAAUAAUACCUGUAUCCACAAUGA